CAAAGUAUAGCUUAACUGAAAGCUCCUCGCUUACACCGAAACCAUGUCCGUGAAAACCAGACUACUUUGA
rnacentral:tRNA from 1 species